UUACAAAGCUGUCUAAUUAAAUUUUUACUAGUAAGCAUUCCUAUUAAAGAGUUUUCUCAUUUAAUUUUUACUAGUAAGAAUGCAAAUAUGACUAGUAACGCUGGGAAUAUUUAAAGAUAAAUCAGCUUGCCAUACCAGGUGCGACUUUAUUUCUGGAAAAUAAGGUAAAUGAAAAUCUAGUAACCUAAUGUUGCAUGUUUAAUUCAGACAGUGGCAUCCAGUUAUCAUCUCUGAAAUAAAUACGAUUUUUUUUAUUUUUUUUUUAUCAGGGUUAGAAUAAGAUUUGAUUAAUCAAAAUGGCUGUGGCCCGUUAUCACUUUUCAACCUAUAUCUUGUAACAUAUUCCAAACUUUACGUAACUUGGUAAGUGUUGACACUAAAACAUUUUGAGGACGCGUGUCAAAUUUCUGCCAAUAGGGGGCGCUUUAACAUAUAAACUGUCAUAACUCUGCGACUGUUUCACUGAAGAAGUUAGAAUUCUGCAUGCAUCUUCUUUGAUUCAAGUGCUUACAUAUCCUUAAAAUAUUGAUUGGACAAAUCAACAAAAAAUACCAAAUUUUAUGAGAAUCUGCCGAAAAGUGGUGCUAUAAUAAGCUAAUUUACAUUUUUGCUAAAAACUUCAGAACUGUAAGGGCUGGAAUGAAUAUUCCUAUUUCCUUUGAGUCCUUCAGUGCCCCCAAACCAAUCCGUCUUGUGGAUUUCCAUUUCUGCAAAAAAACUUUUCUAUCACUUUGAUUUUUUGUUUUUAAACUUGUCCUAGGCGGUUUGUCUGAUUUGCAUGAAAUUUGGUAAAUAUCAUCUAGAGAUGCUCCUAGAAAAAAGUAAUCAAAUAUAAUUUGAUUCCUUUUUUCAGAAGAUAUAAGCCAAAAGGUUUUUGUGUGUGGCCCAUUAUGACUAAUAUGCCUGUAUCUUGUGAGCACAAUAUCGAAACAAAACAGAACUUGGUACACAUAGACAACAGAACAUUUUGAAGGCACAUGCCAAAUUUCAUCCAAUUCUGAUACUAGCUGGAGCUUUAACAUAAGAAAAUCCUAAUUGUGCAACUGUGAUCAAAGCAUGAAUUUGACACCAAAACCACUAAUCCAUGGCAAUAACAGGAUCUGUUUUGUUAAAAUUGCUUUUUGGAAACCGUAAACAACACCUUUGCUUUCUUCUUAACGAGAAGUAUUUUUGAAUUACUUUUCGCAUACUGUUUCCUUGGUAUUCUCAUGUGUAUAUAACCUAAAACAGCCCUGCUCACUGAUAGCAGCGCAAAUUAAUUUAAAUAAGUAGGGAAAAAUCUAUUGGUUGACACAUUUCUACCAUUGCCCAUAUUCAGUCAUACCUCACAACAUUAGUCUGCAUGGACCCCAGAGACAGACAUAUCAAAGAGAAACUGAAGUGACUACUGUUCAACUGUCCUUUAACAGCCUCAGUCAAGAAUACUUUAUGUCCAUCUCCACUUCUGCAACACCUGAAUUCCGCUUGAAUUGCGCCCGUCUCCUGCUGUUGUCGUUUCAGAGCUAAUGGAGUGUGACGUGUCCACAGAGGACUGGAAAGACACUAGAUCGAGUACUGCACAAUACAGAGCAGGCUCACUGCCUCGUGCCCUCACAAACACAACACAUGCGCUCCACAAAAGCAUGUUAAACUUCAAUGAGGACACACUGAGGAAACAGAACUUUCCCAUUUGCCCCGUCCAACUGCAUGUUCACGUCAUCACUUCUUGCACUUUUGUAUAUCCUAUGAGCUUGUGUCGUGUUUAGGGAAGGAUUUUAUUCGGCUGCGACAUAGCUGAACAGAAGUUGACCUAGAAUGAACGGAAAUGGCAUGAGUAGCUUAGGAAACUAAAAGAAGAAGACUGGCGGAAUCCACAUUCAAAGUUAAAGGAGACUCUGUUGCUCACAGAAAGGGUGGCUUUGAAAGCACUGAGACACAGAAAUGUUUCAAAAAUUAAUCGAGAGGUCGUGCCAGCCUGGAUCACAUGAUCACAUACGACAAGAAUACUUCCUCAAAGUGACCACUGAAUGCACCUUUCACCAUCGGCCUUGUGGAAGAACCUUUCAUUAAGGAACUACGUUGCUAACUUUUCAUUGGAAAGACUCUACGCGUGUAUCCCCAUUCCUGCAGUGCUAUUCAAGAGCGCAAAUUUGCCAAUUCAGUUUUGAAUUUCAACCAUCUCACUUUAUGAGACACGCUAUAGAUGCCGGCGUCCUCUGAGGAUAUGGCGGGCAGGGUGAGGGUGCCGUCCUUCACCACACUCUUCACAGGUAGAGCGCCCGAGCUGAUGGACCAGGUGAGGGUUGGCGCAGGCUCUCCGCCCGUCGUGAUGCACACCAGCGACACCGUCUGCCCGGGAUUCACCACGAUCGGAUCUUCCACCAACAGCUUGAUGGACGGAGAAGCUGCAGAAGAGCACACGGACAAAUUGUAUCCUGCCUACUGUUAAAAAAUAGUAUAUGCAAUAAAAAUAAAAAAUCACAAUACUAUGCAACAUUGUUUUCACAUGACUGCAUUAGGGAAUAUGUUUAAUUCAGUAAGUGGCAUCCAGUUAUCAUUUUGGUUAUAAAAAAACAAAACAACUAUUAUUUUGCUUUUUUUAUUGCAUGGAAAUGGCCUCCGAGUACACAGUACAUACUCUUGUGUUUGCAAGUGUCUUUUGACAAAUAAAAGGCCAGUUUAGUCAGAAAUGAAAUAGCUAAAAAGAACCAAUACUUUUCAAUCCUCAAAGUGUGAAUGCAGAAUUGAAAACUAUGAGAAAUUUGCCUUCUAAUCUGUAUUUUUAUUCUAACUCAAUAGCCUUCGGAGAAAACAUCAGGACUAGGAGCUUGUUCUAGCACGCCACAUUGACAGUUGUUUAUUUAGUGACCCUGAAGAUGCAAAUCAAUACCAGAGAACGUUCAGUAACAUUGGUUUCCUAUUAGAUUUGUCCGAUCGAAUCCAAUCAUAACACUGAUCAACUGUAUCCACAAGCCACUUGAUCCAUGCGGAUCAUACAGACAGACAGAAGUAGGUUUCUAAACCGGACACAUUGUGGAGCAUCUUGAUGGUGGAUAGUUGUGACGAUAAUCUGUGUGAAAACAGAAGCGACGAGUCAUACCUGUUCUAUUAGUGAGUCUGAAGACGACUCUUCGGUCACCGAUGCCGCACACGUUCCUGACGGAGGCGAUGCAGCUGUAGUUGGCGUAAUCUUUGGGUCUCAAGUUCUUCAGCUUCAGGAUCUUCGUUUCCCCCUGCAACUCAGAGCGAGAGGCCAAGAACAGCGUGAAAAUGUUUGCCUCAACAACCACAAGCAUUUACAAUUUACAUAUUUAUAUACAGUAAAUAUAUAUAUAUAUAUAUAUAUAUAAUAAAUCUUUUUUUUUUUUUUUCUUCAAAGUUAUAUACAUUUAUUCCAUGGUCUAUUCGAAUACUCGAUUCUGAUUUGUUGUAAUGCAUACGUGCGUAAAAAAACAAACAUAUAAUGCACAUAUCAAAGGACAUAUCAAAGGUGUCUUUGGCUGUCUGGCAAGAGUCAAAACGAUUUGAAUUGUAAUAUGAUAAGCAUCAUCUAAUAUCGCUGUGCUGCUCAUCACACACCCACUAGAGGGCGCUGCUCGAUCACACAUCACUGACUGAAGCUCUGAUUGAAGACUGUUUUAUAAAAGUGCAAGACCAUAUCGCAAUUUAAUUCUCAAUUCAAUCAAUCGUGCAGCCUUAAUGGAUACCACACUGAUGUCUAAGACGUCAAAGUCUGCAGGUUUCACAGUGUUUUGGAUGUUUUACCCCUCAUCAUGAACAGUACAUGCCAAUUUUACUACUUUCACAUCCAUAACACAGUUUUUUCCUCAACAGUGUAAACAUGCCAAAGAAUAGAUAUUAACUAUGACAUGUUCUUAGGAGUGCCAACCCUUCUGUAUUCUGUGGCUAUUAUUAUUUCUGGAUUGUGUAUUUAAGUGUGUGGUUUCCCAAAAACUUUUCAGUGUAUUCAGUGUAUUCAUACAGCUUUUGAUUUGAUUCAUUUAAAUAAAUGUGAUAUUAUCGCA